rnacentral:rRNA from 1 species
UACGAAGGGGGCUAGCGUUGCUCGGAAUUACUGGGCGUAAAGGGAGCGUAGGCGGACAUUUAAGUCAGGGGUGAAAUCCCAGAGCUCAACUCUGGAACUGCCUUUGAUACUGGGUGUCUUGAGUGUGAUAGAGGUAUGUGGAACUCCGAGUGUAGAGGUGAAAUUCGUAGAUAUUCGGAAGAACACCAGUGGCGAAGGCGACAUACUGGAUCAUUACUGACGCUGAGGUGCGAAAGCGUGGGGAGCAAACAGG